AUUGAACGCUGGCGGCAGGCCUAACACAUGCAAGUCGAGCGAGCGGCGGACGGGUGAGUAAUGUCUGGGAAACUGCCUGAUGGAGGGGGAUAACUACUGGAAACGGUAGCUAAUACCGCAUACCAUCAGAUGUGCCCAGAUGGGAUUAGCUAGUAGGUGGGGUAAUGGCUCACCUAGGCGACGAUCCCUAGCUGGUCUGAGAGGAUGACCAGCAACACUGGAAUUGAGACACGGUCCAGAUCCCGAGGGGAGGGCGCAGUUGGGAAUAUAGGCCAAUGGGCGUAAGCCUGAUGCAGCACGGCCGCGUGUGUGAAGAAGGCCUGCGGGUUGUAAAGCACGUUCAGCGAGGAGGCGUUACUGGCAGAAGAAGCACCGGCUAACUCCGUGCCAGCAGCGCGGUAAUUC
rnacentral:rRNA from 1 species